rnacentral:lncRNA from 1 species
UUUAUUAAUUGGCUUACCAUUAUUUUGCAUGUGAUUCUUCCCAUUUCACUACCAAAUUUCAGAAGUUGUGGCUCCACUGAAGUCAAAAUCCUGUUGGACAUAGGAGAGAGAAAGUCAAGUCUCAGUGGUUCUUAAUGAGUCCUGAAUGAGAGGUACAGAAUAUUCAUGACCAUCACUCUGCUUUUAAUUCAGAAGAUGAACACUGAUGUGUUGUCCUUGAAUGGGAAUAAAAUUAAGGAGAACAUGUGUGCAGAAGUCUUAUUUU